rnacentral:misc_RNA from 1 species
AAUUCAAAACGUUCAGUCAAGCCUGGUUUCAAUCGAUGCCACUUUGCCAAAGGACUCAUAAGCUCAGGAUGGUUUAUGAUGAAAGUAGGAUUCACACAAGUUUCUUCCAGAAAGUGCCCAACCAGUUUAUCCAAAAGACGAGCUGUUGUCUGUGGAGGAGGACACUUGACCUCAAACCUCCCACACACAUCAACUAGAUACUUGUUAGCUUCAUCACUGGAAAGGUCCUUUGGUAUGUUGAGGUUGGACAUCUUCUCUAAUUCCUCUAUCAUGUCAAUCCGUCUAAAAGGUGG